CCUCAUGACCUUUGCCAUGGGCGGAAUUCCUCACGCUGGCCCCCGGCAAUCGGGGGCUCCUUAUCCUAAUUACACAUGCAAAGGCCUUUCUUCCAAGGAAGGCUGUAUUCUGAUCGCCUUCCUAUCAGAAUGUAUGUCCAGGAGGACGCAUCUUUUCAGGAGCACAGUUCAGGCCACUACAGUCCACCCUCUGGCCCCCAUGAGCAAAAUACAGUCACCCCCAACCCAGUGCCCCAAAGUGUCACCCACUGCAGCAUCAACCCCGAGUCCCCAGGCUCAUCUCAUCCUGAGUCAGGGGUGGGGGAGGUUCUAGGGCAACACCGUUGCCUCCUGCACACUAGACGGUCACCGCCUCCAGGGUACAAGGGUGGGCAGGAGACGGACGGGGUUGGGGUGGGGGGCAUUCCUCGAGGGCCGGGCAGGAGGGAGACAAGGUCCCGGUCCCAAGCACGCAGAAACCCCGCUGCCCCGCCCAGGCCAGCCGGCUCCCUGACCGUGGAGGCACGGUCUUCUGGAGUCUGUUCCGGUGCUGUGGGCCCCGCUGCUCCUGGAAGCGGAUGAGCGCCCGCUGGCCUGCCGCUGAGGCUGCUGGUACGCCGGGGACCUCGAGGUGGGCAGUCCCCCGACGAGGCCGCGCCCCCAGCACACACCCUGCUGAAUACCCCUCCUCCCCCGCCAGGAGAGGCCGCGGCCCGUUUCCCGCCUCAGCUCCCACAACACUGAAUCCCACCACCGCUGAGGAUGAGCCCUCCUUCCCCGAGAGGAGCCGCCUGCGCCAGGUGCUGGCCAGCUCCGUGGUGGUCCUGACAAUGGUGGCCGUGGUGCUCUGUGCCUGGUGCCCAUCACUGUGGACCGGGCCAUCACGUCCAUCCUGGUGUCCGGGUCGGACAACAGCAUCCUCGCAGCCCGGCCUGUCCACAGCCUCCGAGCAGCCCUUUCAGCACUUCCUGUGGCAGCACCUGGCUCCCACAAGCCUGGGGCCAGCAGCAGCCUCAGGGUGGCGAGUGCCUCAGUGGGGAAGGUUUGGAGGGAGACUGAACUUUGAAGCAAGCGGAGGAAGGACAUUCACUCCGGUGACACUUGGUGGCUCUCCUUCUCCGAGACUUCCCGUCUGUCUGCAUGGGGCCAUCUUCAGGGCAGGGAGCUCCACGGUGCCUGCAGCUGGACGUCACCCACCGCCCGCCUUUGUGAGCGCCCUGUGUCUGCCUUCUCUGAGCUCUGACCACACAGCACCCCCAGCCUCGCCGGCUGCUCCCUGUCCUCUGCUCUGUGGCUGCAAGCCCCGCGGCAUAGACGCCAGGAGACAGUGCCCACUUUUGACUCCCUCGGGAGCGUUCCUUGAGGUGCACAGCACUGUCAGAAAGAACACGUGGUUUUUAAACUGCUUGGAUGCACUGCAGUCCGCCAAGCUUCUCCCCAGAACUGCCAGUCGACGCCUUUAUAAAACCCACAGAUCCGGGCCUCAGGCAGCACCAAGGAUUUCUUAG
rnacentral:lncRNA from 1 species